GUGCCUGCCUUAGCAGCUCAUAGACUAAAAUUGGAACCAUACAGAGAUUAGCAUGGCCCCCGCACAAGGAUGACAUGCAAAUUUGUGAAGUGUUCCAAAUUUGG